AUUGAACGCUGGCGGCAUGCCUUACACAUGCAAGUCGAACGGCAGCACGGGAGCAAUCCUGGUGGCGAGUGGCGAACGGGUGAGUAAUAUAUCGGAACGUGCCCAGUCGGGGGGGAUAACGCAGCGAAAGCUGUGCUAAUACCGCAUACGAUCUAUGGAUGAAAGCGGGGGAUCGCAAGACCUCGCGCGAUUGGAGCGGCAGAUAUCAGAUUAGCUAGUUGGUGAGGUAAAGGCUCACCAAGGCGACGAUCUGUAGCUGGUCUGAGAGGACGACCAGCCACAAUGGAACUGAGACACGGUCCAGACUCCUACGGGAGGCAGCAGUGGGGAAUUUUGGACAAUGGGCGAAAGCCUGAUCCAGCAAUGCCGCGUGCAGGAUGAAGGCCUUCGGGUUGUAAACUGCUUUUGUACGGAACGAAACGGUGAGCUCUAAUACAGUUUGCUAAUGACGGUACCGUAAGAAUAAGCACCGGCUAACUACGUGCCAGCCGCCGCAGUAAAAC
rnacentral:rRNA from 1 species